rnacentral:rRNA from 1 species
AUUGAACGCUGGCGGAAUGCUUUACACAUGCAAGUCGAACGGCAGCACGGGGGCAACCCUGGUGGCGAGUGGCGAACGGGUGAGUAAUGUAUCGGAACGUGCCCAGUCGUGGGGGAUAACGUAGUGAAAAUUACGCUAAUACCGCAUACGAUCUACGGAUGAAAGCGGGGGAUCGCAAGACCUCGCGCGAUUGGAGCGGCCGAUAUCAGAUUAGGUAGUUGGUGGGGUAAAGGCUCACCAAGCCGACGAUCUGUAGCUGGUCUGAGAGGACGACCAGCCACACUGGAACUGAGACACGGUCCAGACUCCUACGGGAGGCAGCAGUGGGGAAUUUUGGACAAUGGGCGCAAGCCUGAUCCAGCCAUUCCGCGUGCAGGAUGAAGGCCCUCGGGUUGUAAACUGCUUUUGUACGGAGCGAAAAGGCUCUCUCUAAUACAGGGGCUCAUGACGGUACCGUAAGAAUAAGCACCGGCUAACUACGUGCCAGCAGCCG